UACGGGGGGGGCAAGCGUUGUUCGGAAUUACUGGGCGUAAAGCGUGCGCAGGCGGUUUUGUAAGCCAGAUGUGAAAUCCCCGGGCUUAACCUGGGAAUGGCAUUUGGGACUGCAAGGCUUGAGUGCGGCAGAGGAGACUGGAAUUCCCGGUGUAGCAGUGAAAUGCGUAGAUAUCGGGAGGAAUACCGAUGGCGAAGGCAGGUCUCUGGGCUGACACUGACGCUCAUGCACGAAAGCGUGGGGAGCAAACAGG
rnacentral:rRNA from 1 species